GUUUGUGUGUGUGUUUCAGCUGGAGGGGAAAGUUCAGCAGGGAGAAAGAGACUUUGAACAAAUCUCCAAAACCAUACGCAAAGAAGUCAGCAGGUUUGAGAAAGAGAGAGUGAAGGACUUUAAAACGAUUAUUAUCAAAUACCUGGAGUCACUGGUCCAGACACAACAGCAGCUGAUAAAAUACUGGGAGGCCUUCUUACCUGAGGCCAAGGCCAUCUCAUAGAGUCCACAUAUACGCAACAGACCUGACAGGCUCCGGUCAAACUACACUACCCAUAAUGCACCUGUCCUCCUGGGUCACCCUCAUCCUCCUGUUUAUGCUCAGAGUGAAGAAGAGAAGUGAGGCAGCAAAUCGGCUUGACGUGACUUUUACACUUUCUUCAUCUUUUUUUUUUUUUUACCAAACAUCAGGGGAAUGGGUGAGAGUAAGUGGGUGUUGUAAUCUCACUCUGUAAAAUUGUUUGAGUUUAUUUUUUCAGAUAAUGUCAUUCUGAGGAAUUGUGUCCACCCCCCUUUAGUUUGGUCUUUGGAGGUAUGAAUGCACAUUCCUGCCAUAAAAAUUAAGAAGAUGAAGAGUUAGGAAUGAUCAAAAUAAAUUGUCAGGGAAAGUUUGACAUAUUAAGUUAAAAGAUGUUUAAAUUCUGACAAAAGUAAAAUUGGUAAAGUAAAAUAAAGUGAAGUAAAAUUUAUGAGACACUAAAUGCCUUUAUCAAAAAAAAGUAUAACCCUACUCUUUCACCGAAACAGGCCAUGUAAUGACACCUGAGCAAGUUUGCCGAAGAAAGCUGUGGGAUCUGGUCACCUUAAAAUUUUGAAAAUUUUAGUACUGAUAUGGGCUAUUUAGCAUUUAUAAGCAUAUAAACAACUACAAAUGGUUAAUGACACAGUAUAAUGUAGCUGUAAGCAGAUAUAAGUGUUCAUUAUCAUUUCUUAAACAAUUUUAUUUUUACCCAGAUUUGAUCCAAAGGUCAGGAAUAACCAUUGAUGCUAAAGUUCAUCAUAAUGGUCUUGACUGACCAUGAGAAUAUUUAUGUUAGCCAUUACUGACUUUUUAUUUCUUCUAGUUUUCAUGGCAAGAAAAGGCUUCCUUACAUUCUCUCUAAAUACUACAAUACCCAUGAGCCUCUGUGGCAGUUGCUCAGAGUUGCUUAGAGUCAAAGCUGUGAAGUUAGAGUUGUAGCAUGUUUUUGAAGUUAUAUGAUGACUGCUGCAAACCUCCAAUUUCACACCACCAUUUCCAAGCAACAGAAUCUAAAGCUCUCUGAUUGGAUGUUUUUCUGAAGUGUUCUCUGGGAAUUGUUGUCGACUUCUCUCCUAAUCACAGUCUGGAAUUGAUUUGUUUUGAGUCAAGCAGAUUUCAUUAUAAUAAUUAAAAUAAUAAUCCAUUUCAUUAUUGUAUUUUUUCUGUCACCCAGCACUAUCAGUUGUUAGUGCUAGCAGCUUUUUUCUUCUUUUCUUUUUUUUAGAACAGAACAGCAGGUAAAUAUGGAAACUUUUGUCCACCAAAACCCCCAAAACAAACAAUCAGACACUGUGGUUUUAUUUUUAAUGUUUGGAACAUGAGCUGUGAAACUGAUCCGGAGUCAGUGAUGAAGGCAUAUUUUGUGUCUUGUACUUCCCGUCAUCUGUUCAGUCCCCUCACUUCCCUUCAUGCCUUUCCAAACAAAAGCCCUUAUUUUUGUUGCUGCAUGAUCGUAAAGUGAAGGCAACGUUUUCUCUUUCUGCCCUUUUUGAGCUAAUGAGAGCAAAGAAGGAACACUGUCACUUUCUGGUUCUGUUCACUGCUGCUGCCUGAUGAAAACGUAGAAAAAGCAAAUUUUCUCUCUUCUACUUGAAAAAUCUUGAUUCAAUACCCAUAGUUCAUAACUCUGCUAAUUAAUGUAUCCUAGGGUGGUGAAUUUCUCUAGACGCACUGACCCCAUCUUCACUUUAAUUAAUCUGUAUCCUGGGUAUUUAGAAAGUAUUCACAUUGAAGAAAAUCAAAUCAAAUGCAGGUGUUUGAUUUAAGCACCAAAACUAAUGCUGAAAGUCAUCAGAGAUGCAUUUAGUAUUAUUAUUUUAAAGUUGGGCUAAAUUUGUUUAAAAAUAAGCAUAUUUUAAAAUCCUCCAUAACAUUUAUAGUUAAAACUGAAAUAUAGUCCUUUAAAUGCUGACAGUUGUGACCGCUCUGUUUAUACGGUCUUUCGACCUUAUAUCCCCAAAUAAGUCCUUACUUGCAAAAUCUUCCUUUCACAGUUUUUAACUGCAAAUAUCUUAAAAAUCAGAAUGUGGAAAAUGUACACUGCAUAACACUGUCCACAUUGCAACAGUGGACCUGUGACCUCAGUUUAUUUCAACAAAACAAUUAUUUUUAUUUUUUAUUUUUUUUCUUCUCUAGCAUCAUUAAAUGGGGCCUUAAGGGGCCAAAAUGGCCUUGUUGUGGUUCCAAAUCUGGUUUGGGAAACAGCUCUGUGUUCGAGGAAAAGUCCUCACUGAUUACUUGGUGCUUCAGUCCAAACUAGAAGAAUCAAACCAAAACUAGAGGAAGAAUAAAGAAAAAUUUCAAUCAUAAUGGUUUUCUAUCGUAAAUUACAAAUAAGCAGCAGAUCAGGAAUCUGAAACCCUGCAGUCUGAACAGAACCUUGGUGUUUUUCUUCCUCCUGUUCCUUUUCCUCAACGAGGAGACUUAAGAUGUUUUCACUUUUGGUUUAAUACAUUUAACAGGAUCAAAUGGCUUGUUAGCGUCUUUAGCAUUUUUAGUUUCAAUAGCUUGUGACGCUAACUAGCUGUUUUCACUGCACAUGAAGGAUUUCCCGUUGAAGGAAACUGAAGUUGAGCCAAAAUUCAGAGUGUUUGUAGUUUCAGGUGUGGAGGAAGUGAGGGAGUGUCAGGUGUCAGUGUGUGUGUCCGUCCAGAGAGCAGCCUCAGACUGAGGACUGUUUUUCUGGCUGUUUCUCUUCCUAUUGAUCAGUGUGAGGGCUGCAGUUAUACAUAUUUAACUGCAAAUUCUACAGAAUCUGUUCUUGAUUUUAUUUUGUUGAAUUUAAAGCACACUUCAUUAUCAGAAUAACAUUAAAACUGGAAAUAUAUAAAACAUGUUUUCAAGCCCUCAUCGCCAUUACUCCUCAAUCUCAAAUCAUACAGCACUAUGUUGAUUGCUACCUUUUUGUAUGUUAUGCAAUGUUUUUUUGCCGCCUAAUGAUGUGCAAUGGUUGAGAAUUUUUUGUUUUUAUUUUCACAGAUGAUGAAAUGCUUCAUCUGAGCAAACUUUUUUUUAACUCUGUUUUGACGUGACAUUCCUGCAGUGCAGCAGAGCAGACUUUAAUUACAAUAAAGGAAUGUAUCCAUUGGA